CAUACAUACUUCACCCUUUAGGCUAGGGUUUAUCCAUGAAUAAAGCAAAUGUUAAAGGUCCCUCCUCCCAUUUGAGCUGCCAUUUUCCCUCCACCAUAUCUACACAGUGCACACAACACCUGCGUCUCUCGCACACCACGCGGCCACGGCAUCACCACCUUCACUCCUCCGGAGCACUGCCAUCUCCGUCCGCCUCAAUCUCUGACGCCACUCGAAAAACGGACCACAAAACAUAAUCAAUGAGCAUAUGACAGAGGUGUGUUUUGAUAAAUAAGCAUGUAUAUAUAGAGAGAGAAUUGAGUUUGUAGCGUCAAUAGCAAAAUGUAGAGGGAAGAAAAGAGCAAAACCCAUACGGACUUCGCCUUUGAAGUUGACCUUCAAGGCUUCAUAGCCGGGGAGCCAUCUGAGCAAGUUCUGCAAUUAUCUCCUUCAGGUAGUCCGGGAGACCAGAUAUGAACAUUGUCCUAAUCGCCUCACCGCCCAAUGACAUUGGAGACUGUGGAGGUGGAGACGCGGCCAAAUGCGGAUGCGGAUGAUGGGUAACUUGGUAGAAUCUUCUUCAAAACAAAGUAUUUCAUCAGUUGAUGUGGCGUUUUUGGUUGCCAUGAACCAUGGGAUUCAGAUGAUGGCAUAACCUUUGAAGGAAACACAACCACCACUCGCCGCCGCACAUCAACCAUACAGCAACAUUUGAUGUGACCACCCCACACCACACGUAUCAUGUUCAAGUCAAUCAGAUUCGGGAUCAGCCAUCGCCACACAUCGUUCAACUCUAUCGCCACUGCCUUCGAACUGUUUCUUCUUGACAUUUUUUGUAACCGCGCGGAGACUUCCAACGGUUCCGGUUACCCAUUAAGCCCAUGUUAUAAACGUGUCGCAACGCCGCCGCCUUUCUAGUUUCCCGAUUUCUCGCAACCAGCGUCUUUCUAAAAUGUUCAUUCGAUCAUUCGAGGUUCUCGUGUUCUUUAAGGAUGACUUGAAUUUGGUUUGCUUUGCUUUGUUUUGCCGAGUUAAGGUCGUGUUGUUCCGGGGAACAUGACAAUUGAGGUGAUCACCACCGUCGGAUCCGAGAUUAGGCAGGUAAUCUCUUUUCAUUUUUCCGGUGAACUAGUUAAAACCGCAGGCAAAGUCAUAGCCCUUGAUUUCAUUGAAAGUGUGGUUAAAAAGACUGAGAGCAUCAAUGGGCACCAUAAGAAUGUCGAAUUUAUGUGUGCUGAUGUCACCUCAGUAGCAACGCCACAUGCAGCAGCGGCGACUGCACCACACGCACGCCUCAGCAGCAGCACCACACUGCAUGCCUGCAGUAGCAGCUGCGCGGCUACACUACACGCACGCCUCAGUAGCAACGUCGCACUGCGCGGCACUAUUCCAGAGUUGGUUCCAAAACCUGGAUUUUAGAGAUGAACUUCAAAACUUUUUGAGUUCGAGUUACCCGACUAAGUUUGGAAGCGAAGAUGUUGAUGGUGAAGAAGCGGAUGAGGACAACGAUGAUGACACAGAUAUGAUUUAAAAUUAUGACAUUUUAGAUGUUAAGUAGUUUUAUGACGUAUUAGUGACUUAAAACGAUUUCGAAUUGUGACGUUUAUGCAGUUUACGCUUAUGUAGAUUAUGCAUAUUUAAGUUUAUGUUUGGUUAGUUUUA